GUAGGCCCGUGCCCCUGCUCGCGCUGCAGCCCGUGGAAGGGUUCCGUCCAGCGUAUCCUUCAGAUCUUGCUGUAGGCCUCUGGUGUCUGUGCGCGCGCGGCAGGGGCGGCGGCGGCGACGGCCGGAGGUGUACGGUGUAAAUCCAAACCGCUUCCAACUCAAGGCAAGUAACAGCCCACGGUGUUCUGGCAGGAAAACAUCAGCUAAGAAAGGAAACUGGGUCCUAUGGCUUGGACUUUCCAACUCUGACAGACCGGCAGGACAGAAACAACUGGUUCAGGAGCCCUUGCCAGCCUCUAGAGAAAUCCCAGAACACUCAGCCCUGAUGACACAUUAAUACCCUGCACAUAUUGGAGACUGCUGACCACGCAUACUCACCAAGCCACAGACUUGUCUUCCACAAGCACGUUCUUACCUCAGCCACAAAGUGCCCAAGCCACAUGUACUAAAGGUUGAAAUCAGAGACAUGUACAGGGUAUUAAACAGAUACCAAGGGGAACAGUUAACUUGAAUAUAGCUUGAAUAGAAAGUCAAAAUCAGCAACAAGUCUACAAUCCAGUGCUGAUAUCAGAUACAAGCUUCAAGGACAACUUUCUGUGUAUGUUUUUUUUUUUUUUUUUGAGACGUAGUCUCGCCCUGUUGCCCAGGCUGGAGUGCAGUGGUGCAAUCUCGGCUCACCACAACCUCUGCCUCCCAGGUUCAAGUGAUUCUCCUGCCUCAGCCUCCCCAGUAGCUGGGAUUAUAGGCGAAUGCCACCAUGCCUGGCUAAUUUUUGUAUUUUUAGUAGAGACGGGGUUUCAGCAUGUUGGCCAGGCCGGUCUCAAACUCCUGACCUUGUGAUCCACCCGUCUCGGCCUCCCAAAGUGCUGGGAUUAUAGGCGUGAGCCACCACUUCUGGCCACAAAUUUCUUUUUGAAGGCUUAUUCCAGUUUUGUGAGGCUAGCAUGAGGUGUAUGCAUUUGCCAGGGGCAAAUUUAUACUGCUGAAUUAACCCAUGCAACAAAUGCUGCACAUCUGCUCGCAGUCCAUUUAGAGGCAUUUGCGGUAGACAAUGGAGGGGCCAGACUCAUCAUACAUACCUGAUGGCUAACCCACAUGCUUGCAGUCCAUUUAGAGGCAUUUGCAGUGGAUGAUGGAGGGGCCACAUACCUAAUUGCUAAUCCACAUCUGCUGGAAGGUGGACAGUGAGGCCAGGAUGGAACCACCAAUCCACACCGAGUACUUGUGCUCUGGGGGCAUGAUGAACUUGAUCUUCAUGGUGCUGGAUGCCAGCGUGGUGAUGCCAGGGCACAUGGUGGUGCUGCUGGACAGCACUGUGUUGGCGUACAGGUCUUUGCGGAUGUCCACGUCACACUUCAUGAUGGAGUUGAAGGUGGUCUUGUGGAUGCCGCAGGAUUCCAUGCCCAAGAAGGAAGGCUGGAACAGCACCUGCAGACACCAGAACCACUUGUUGCCGAUGGUGAUGACCUGACCUGGCCAUCAGGCAGCUCAUAGCUCUUCUCCAGGGAGGAGGAGGAUGUGGCAGUGGCCAUCUCCUGCUCGAAGUCCAGGGCGAUGUAGCACACCUUCUCGUUGAUGUCGCGCACAAUCUCCUGCUUGGCCGUGAUGGUGAAGCUUGGCUCAGCUGGCUCAUGGCUCGUACCGGAGGGACCGGGCUCAUGGUUGGCCACCAUAGGUUCCUCCAGUCUCCCGUUCCAUGGUCGCACGCACAGUUUGUCCAUCUCCUGUAAACACACAAGCAUACCAUCUUCCCCAUAUCAGUAAGUCCACCACACCUUUCCAUUGUCCUUCUUUUGGGGAUUUCCAUAACACUUUCGGAUAAACUUUCCUCUUUUCCUCUAACGCUUGCCAGUGUCUUUUUGCUGGAGUCUUAACCAUUCAUACCAGGAGUCAAAAAAUUUACAGUAAAUAAGGCUAAAUGUAGUUUUGAUUGAGGUGGUAGUUGGCCUCGUAUACCCCCUUUUGUCUUUUCAACAUGUGUUGUAAUGUUUGAUGUGCCUGCUCUAUAAUGCCUUGUCCUCUAGGAUUAUAAGGAAUUCCUGUUUUAUGGGUUAUAGCCCAAAGCUGUAAGAAAUUUUGAAAAGCAUGACGAGUAUAAGCGGGUCCACUGUUAGUUUUUAAUUGUUUAGGUAUCCCCAUAUGAGCAAAUGAUGACAGACAAUGUUGCUGUACAUGACCAGCUGUCUCACCUAUUUGGCAUGUAGCAUGCAGCAUAUGAGAAUAAGUGUCUAUAGUCACAUGAACAUAGCUAAGCUUGCUAAAGGUUGCUAUGUGUGUAACAUCCAUUUGCCAAAUUUCAUUUGGAGCCAAACCUCAUGGGUUACAGCCUUCUACAGGUGUGGCUCCAGGGACAUGCUGGCAAAUAGGACAGGCUUGUAUUAUAGCCCUAGCUUGUCGGCAAGAUAAAUGGAACAUGCGAGUAAGGGCGGAAGUAUUUUGGUACAGAAGUGCAUGAGACACUUGAGCUUGCUGAAACACAGAACCAAUUAGUUUUUCUGCUUUCUCAUUACUUAGAGAUAGUGGCCCAGGAAGUUGUGUAUGAGAGCGAAUAUGAGAAACAUGAAAAGGAGCUGUAUGAGCGCAAAUAACUUAUUGAAGUCUUAAAAAUAAAUUAAGCAGUUCUGGGUCUAGUGUACUUUUAAUUGUAGCAGUUUUUAUGCAACUGGCUACAUUUAUAACCCAAGCUGAAUCACAGUGUUGAUAGGAUCUGAAGCUAUGAGCUGUAAAACCUGAAUGACUGCAAUUAGCUUUAAGCUUUGAGCUGAAACCCCAGAGGUCAUUAUUGUUUUUGGACCUUUUUGGAAUAACAAAUACCGGUGAAUUUCAGGGGAUAACUGACUUUUCUAUAUGUUCUGCAUUUAAUUGCUCUUUUACCAACAGAUGAAGUUGAUCUAGCUUCUUAUGUGUUAGGGGCCAUUGAUCCACCCACACAGGUUUGUCACUAAGCGAUUCUAAUGGUAAGGCAGUGGGUGGAGGAGAAAUAUCAUGACCCCCGUCAGAAAUCCUGACGUUCUAGCCCUUCUUUAUUUGUUUUUCCAGUUACUGAUAUCAGGUUAGGAUUUCAUUGUAGAAAUUUUCUUAAACCUUUUUCCCUUUGAUAUCCCAUGUCUUUCAACAUUUUAAAUCCUGGAUUAUUAAAGUUUUCAUUUGUAUGUCUCAUAUCCCAUGCUGUAAGUCUCGACCCCAUAAAUUGAUAGCUAUAUUUGCAACAUAAGGCUGAAAAGUAUAUGACUGUCCAUCCGGACCAAUACAAGAUAAAAUCUCAGCGCUUUGUUGAACACUUUGAGCUGUUUACUCCCACUAGGGACGUAGAAGUUAAUUGUAAGGGCCAGGAUAGGGGCCAGUUGUCUUUAGAUAUUACUGAUACAUCAGCUUUCGUAUUCAUAAGCCCAUAAAAUUUCUUUUCUUUAAUUUGUACUACACAGGUGGGUCUAUUAGAGGCAAUGGGUCAGGAUAGAUCGAUUUCCCAUAUAGUUGUGCUCCCAAACCCUUUAUUUCCUCGUUUCUCCUUUUGUUGAGAAGGGUGUAAUUUGCAGGGAAUAAGCAAUAAUUGAGAAAUAUAUUCUCCUGGUUCAAAACCCCAAAGAUUUUGUGACAUUAAAACUACUUGAAUUUCUACUUCAUAAUAGGAGUCAGUCACUUCUGGGACUAUAGUGAUGCCUUGCAAAUUAAGACGGCUUUUGCCUAAAAUUAGUCCCAUGUAUCCUGUUGGUAAAGGUCCCCAAAUACCAGUGGUAACUUUGAUAGGUUUGUCUCCACCAACUAACAUGAUUUUUUCUCUGGUGGGUAGAUUUAAUUCUGCACUUCCUGGUGUUUCUGGGGUGAGGGAAUCAAUGGGCCUCCGGGAACCCAUCCCUGAAACGGGGUUGAGGUCUGUACUGGGAAGGCCCUCAUUGUUUGUGGGGCCCGGGUUCAGGCCCCCGUCUCACUUCCCGGCAGGGGGGUGCCAUUUUGAUGAAAUUUUGAGCAGCACUGAUUAGUCCAGUGAUUUCCUUUGUUACAGCAAGGACAAAGUCCUGGCGUUUUUUCCGCUGGAGUCUGUUGGGGGGGCGGUGGACAGCAUUGUAAGGUCCUUUCUGUCCUGAGAUCUGGCAGCAUUGCUUUUUAAAAUGUCCAGUUUUUCCACAAUUAUAACAUUUUCCCAUUUUAGGGUUUGACCCUUGGCUUCUUUUAGAUUUGUCAACUGCUAAAUUAGCCAUUGCUUGCGCUAACAUUGCAGAGCGAUGAAGCUCAGUUCCUACAUCCUGACAAGCUCUUGAGAAAAUUUCCCAAGUUUUUUGUACACCUCACCGGUGCCAGUGCACAUUUGCAUUCCCAAAAGCUAGAGUUAAGGUUUUUGCCAAUUUAAAUUCCAUGUCAGAUAUACACUCACAGACAAGCAAGUUCGCACCAAGUGUUUCACAUCAAAGGGCAAAAAAUGCAUAGCACCAAACACAGAUUCUAGCAAUCCUAAGGUGAAUGGGCUUUGUACGCCAUUAUUUACCACACUCACUUUUAAUUCCUUUAACAACUUAAACUCUAGUGUGUGUUCAUGAAUAACCUGCUGUGGAUUAUUUGGAUCAGGCCUUACAGAAAUAGGAAAAGCGCAAGGUCCUAAGGGCUCUCCAGCUAUGGCAGCAGAGUGUAAAAUUCUUUGUAUUGGGGUUUGUAUUUCUGCUACUGAAGGAGGUGGUACAGAUGUUUCUGCAAUUGGAGGAAGUGGUAUAGGCCAAUUUUUAUCUCCCUCUCCUGUUUUUUAUUUUCAGUUGGAGCUGUGGGUGGGACAACAGAUUCUUUCAGAUUUUUAGACUUAGCCUGCUGUCCAGCAGAAUAAUGAGGAGAUAAUGGCACAAGUACAGUAUGAACUAAACUCCAAGUGGAGAAAACAGAAGAAUCAACUUUAAGACCUUUUGGAUGAGCCUGUUUUAAUCCUUCUCCUGCCCUAUCCCAAUUUUCCACAUCGAGAGUGCCUGCCUGUGGAAACCGUGGGUUAUGUGUAAUAACCUUUUGUGGCUUCUGCAGGAGGUUAGUGUCUGCGAAUUAACCUGAGCUCUAGAUUGUCUCAGCAGAACUUUAAGCAACUGCACAUAAUGUUUUUCUUUAAUAGACGAAUUCUUCCCCUUGUUACCCUGAUUCAGAAAACUUCCCGUUCCCAGUACUUCUUUAAAGCACUGCUCCCAUUACCUCUUUAGGGCACCGACCUUAUAUCCACUGCCGGCAGACUCGUCCUGGGGUCCCCGUUUGCCUUGUCAAAUUCAGUUCCUCUGCUCCAGCAGACCUUCGUUCACGUCCUCGAAGUCCCUGUUCUGGGGCGCCACUAUGCCGCUGACCUAUUGGACUGAACAAAGGGGGGCAAACACGGGAAUAAGACAAGAGACAAAAGAGUAUAUUUGGAAGAAGGGGUCCGGGGUACCUUGCCUCUAGUGGACAAGGGCUCUGAGCUUUACACAACCCUCUGUAUUUAUUAGGCAAAAGAGAUAGCGAGAAAUGGGGGUGGGGGGGUGAUUUUCAGGUAAUUGUCCAUCGGCUGUUUGGUUCACAGCAGGCUUUCAAGACUGCAUCCUUUGAACAAUAGGCGCUGAUUUUCUCAGUAGGUAACUUCAAGGAGCCCAACGCCGGGGAGUGAUGUCCCUCAGCAAACCUUUUGGUGGCAGGGCAGUGUGAGUUUGCCCACAUCCUGCAUUCAUGAUAAACUGUUUUUUGAUCAUAUAGCCUCCAGCAGAAUGCUGAGUUGGUCACAUCCCACAGGCCUUCGGCUCCCUGCAAUUGUAUACCUUAAAUUUCUGUAUCACUAAGAUGCCAAUGUUUUAGUGAAAAAGAAAAUAGAGUGUAAAAUUCAAUAUCACCUAUUUGUCUCAACUACAAGUACAGUGAGUAUUAAACAACAAUGACAAUAUAGAAACAAAAACAGAACUUGUAGAUUUGCCCAAAUUAACUCUCUUUCUCCAAAUUUGAGGUGUAUGGCAAGUUGAAUGUUUGUUCUUUCAGCAAUUGUUAGUUGCAUUAUCAGCUUAACACUUUCAAACAGUGCAGGAGGCAUUUCUCCGUUCACAUAGACUUAAGUACAUAUAUACUGGGCUGUAAAUAGUUUGCCUUCCAUGUUUGGUCUCUAAGCACUAAAUAGGUAGACUUCAAAUCAGUCUAUGUGACCCAGUGGCCCUCUCUUCAGAGGCAUCAGUAAUGCAUUUGGCAAAUGUCUUGAAACAUGAAUUGUAAAUUGACAUAGGUACAACCUUGAUAAUAAGAGUCCCAAAUACGUAGUUUUUAAAAUGUUAACCUUAGGGGGAAAAAAUUAUAAUGAUCAUCAGCCCUAUUUCCUGAAAAUUCAGUUGAGGUAACCUCUGCAAGUCACAGCUCCACAUUUACAUACAGUUCUGACCCUCUUUUUGGCUGGGCUGUGGUCAAUAGAAUCUGAAGAUACAUCUCCAGAACCUUUCAUUUGAUAAUCAAAAGUCAGCUCUUCUCCAGCAUUUUUGGUUCUCGUGGAAAACAUUGCUAUUCAGGGAAGACGAGUAUUGUUGUAGGAGUUAUUAAGAAAUUAUUUUAGGCAGAUAGAGAGGAAAAGGGGUCCUUGGGAAGUUUUCAUUUUUUAAAGCAUCUCCGGAAAAGUUUCUUGUAAAGCCCCAGCUCUUAGAGCCAGGCUGUGAACCUGACUCCUCCCAAAGUUGGUUCAGCCUACGCCCAGUGAUUGGCAAGGACAGCUUGUGAGCUGGAAACAAAAUGAAGUUGUUUGGGUUGGAUCUUUUUCACGGUCUCAGUCACAAUUUUGCAAUGACAGUUUCAAAAGCUACCUAUCACUCCUUUGAAAAUACCUUGUACACUGGCGGUUAAGUCAUAACCUAAUUAAGGCUCGUUGGUUUCACCUGUGAGGUUACUCUUUGUAAAGUUCAAAAGCCAAAAAUCUUAACUGCUUGGCGUGGCUGAAGUCAAGUAACAAGGGAUUUAAAAAGAAUUUCUUAAAGAGCGCUCAGCUUAAUUAAAAGUGAAUAUUCAAGUUUUAGGUAUAUUUAAAAGGCCUUUAUGUUUUUCUUUUCUUGGAUCUUGUUUUCUGGAAAAAGGUUCUUCUCAGUCGGCUGAAUUAUUUUCUUCCAUUUUUUUUUUUUUUUUGUCUUGCCACUCUUAGUGCAUGCAUGAAAGGCCCUGAGAUAACUUCUGGUAGCAUGGGACUCCUUGGGAAAAAUAGAGGAGGUGCCACAGACCCUGUUUUGGGGAAAAACCUGUUUUCCUCAUGAAACCCCAGAAAUUAAAAGCAAAUAGUUCCCUCUCAAAAUCAAAGGCUCUGUUCUGUUUUGCAUUAUCUGAUGGUUUUGAGUUUUGCGGUAUCAGAAAUUACUCCGCAUUGUAAGAGAGCUUUGGUGUAUAAUAACUAGGUAAAAAAUACCCUGUAAGGGGUGGCUAAUAAUAGUUAUAAAUCAGAAAAGCAUGCUCUUGGCCACCUGAAAAAUAAGGAAACAUCCCCACCCCACACUGGGAGAUGAGACUCCCGUCAGAGAUGGGCUAAUUACAAAAUAAGCCAGUUGGCUUUGGGUUGCCUUGCAAUGAAAUGCAUGGUAGAAGCACUAUACUGUCUUCUCCUCUAGUAUCUAUAUGGUCUUUUCAUAAAUUAAGCAUUGAAAUAAAAGCAUAGCAAGGAGGUCUUAAAACACUACUCUGCCUUUUAGUAAAAGGGUUAUAAAAAGUUUGUAGAAAUUUCACUUCAUGGUCAAGUUGGUUAGGAUUAGAUGGAAUAAUCUAUAAGGUUUUAUUUAAACAAAUUAGGGUUAACAUUAACAAACUAAUACAAGGGUAAAAUUUGGUUUUAAACAGGAUUUCCAUGUCAUAGUAAAGGCUAAUAAAAGGUUUUUGACUUUUAAGUCAUCAUUUGGGCAAAAUAAUCUAUGGCAGUCUGGGAACUGUCCUUCCUAAUUGGCUUUUUGGAUGGUUCAUAGGGCCCCUGAAACAUUUAAAAAAGAGAUAAACAGGAUUAUUUGACAUGUUUAGUCACAUGAGAUUGCCAAAAUGAUGUCCAAUCUUCUUUAAGUUAUAUUUUGGUGAAUAAUACUAAUAUAUGUUCAAAAAUUGUAUGGGAUUUCUAAAAUUCUAAUGUCUAAGUAUAUGCUCUCAGUCAUAAUUAAAGGUAAAGUUAUCGUAGACCAUGGAUAUACACAAACUUCUUUGUCAGUCAUGUUUUUAAUUGUAACUACCCAGGAAAUGUUGCCAUUCGCAGACAAGUGUUUUGUUCCUUCUCAAAAGACGGUUUGUAAUCAAGCUAUAUUAAGAACUUUAACAGGUGUUCUCAAAUGCAGGUUUUAAUAGCUUUACAGAUUGUAACAUUGGAACAGAGAAAGAACAUAGAAAACUUUUAAAGAACUGACAUGUUCACAAAUAUCAAGCAAAACAAGAGUUAACUAAAUGAGUUGCACUCAGAAAGUUAAAGCAAGUCUUUUAUCUUUUGCUUGGAAUACUGCUGAUCCUUGUUUUGUUUUUCAGAGUCAAGGAGAAACUUAUUUUAAACUAUUGAUGGCCUUUAAUAAUUGAGUAAGGUAUAUUCCUAUGAACAAAAUUUAGAGCAUGUUUAUUUCUCUGCCUGGUUCCUCUGGAAUUUGGGAACUAUCUGUGAAUACUCUUAACUUAUGGCAAUAUAGUUGUUUGCAUCGGUGCAAUAAGAAUCCAUUUUUCUUUGUCAGCGGGACACAAUUGGAAAAACUGGUUAUUUUACCAAGGCUUUAACUGAAAGGGUGUGUUUCUCUUUAAGGAAUCAAGCUUGACAUGCAGAGCCAAUAAAAGCCCCUUGGGGAGAACUGGCCUCAUACCUUGUCUACACAGUCCCUGCACAGGGUUCCUAACCUGUGGUUAGUAAAGAAUGUCACUUUCUAACAGGUCUGGAAGCUCCGAGUUUAUCUUGGGAACUCAAGAGGAGAGGAUCACCCAGUUCACAGGUAUUUGAGGAUACAAACCCAUUGCUGGGCUCGGCUUUAAAAGUCUUAUCUGAAAUUCCUUGUGAAACAGAGUUUCAUCAAAGCCAAUCCAAAAGGCCUAUGUAAAAAUAACCAUUCUUGCUGCACUUUAUGCAAAUAAUCAGGCCAAAUAUAAGACUACAGUUUAUUUACAAUUUGUUUUUACCAAAAAUGAGGACUAGAGAGAAAAAUGGUGCUCCAAAGCUUAUCAUACAUUUGUCAUUAAGUCCUAGUCUCAUUAAUUGUUUUCAAGCUUUUCGCCUACAUUUUAGACUAACCCUGCUUAUUCCUGUGAAUCAAGUAGUGGUCUCCUGCAGCUUGGAAGAAAAAAUAAGGGAUGGGUAAUGUAAAAAUCUGGAUCAAUAUACUGGUUCUGGGCAAUUAUCCUGCAAAUUCUGCCAGGUAAUAAAAGUGAGUAGGGUGCCCAUAAUCCGGAAGUUUCUUUGUUUAGGAAAAUAAAAACAAGGAACUUCAUAGACCCCCCCCAAAGGGGAAUUCUAUAUCUUGACAAGUAAAAUUUUAGAUGGAAAUUAUCUACAACACCACACUUACGGAAAUUGCUAUCCUCACUCUAUUAUUUGCAAAAGGGUUAUACACAGUAGCACCUUCUAACUGAAGUAUUAAACAGAGUUUCCAUUGCUGUCGUAUUUUGCUUAAUUAUUAUCCUUAUAGCAGGGAUAAUAGUUACUAACAAAAAGGAAGCAUGAAAGUUUUACUAUCACUGAGCCUGGUAGGACUUUUUAUUGGGUUUAGUGAUGCAGUUUUAAAUGAAACAUGCCGCUUUUGGAUUAAUACCUCUAGUAAAGGAAAAUUUACAGAUACUUAAAAAUCAAAUCAAAAUUAUUGAUAGGCUCAGGAAAAAUGCCAGCUUCAGCCCUGAGUGGCUACAAACCCUCUUUAAUAAAUUCCAGUCUUCUUUAUGGAAUUGGUUAACGCCUUUAUUAAGCCCUCUCUUGCUUAUAUGUCUUGUAUUGAUAUUUGGACUCUGUAUAUACAAUACUAUAACUCGAAUUGUUUCUUCUCGCCUAGAAGCAAUCAAACUCCAAAUGGUGCUGUAAACUGAACCACACAUGGACAGGCCAUUCUUCCGAGGACCCUUAGAUUGAUCCCAGGGGGAGCCCUAGCUGCUAUUCCCCAUUCAACGCCCCUUUUCAGCAGGAAGUAGCCAGAAGGAGUCGCCGCCCAAAAUCCCCUAACAGCAGUUAGUGUGGCAUCUCCACAGGAAGUAAUGUUGUAGGAGUUACUAAGAAAUUAUUUUAGGCAGAUAGAGAGGAAAAGGGGUCCUUGGGAAGUUUUCAUUUUUUAAAGCAUCUCUGGAAAAGUUUCUUGUAAAGCCCCGGCUCUUAGAGCCAGGCUGGCAACCUUUGAUAUGCAAAUGUAAGCCAUUAGAAACCAGGUCCACCCAGGCCAGGUGUGGUGGCUCACGCCUGUAAUCCCAACACUUUGGGAAGCCUAGGCAGGUGGAUCACCUGAGGUCAGGAGUUCGAGACCAGCCUGGCCAACAUGGUGAAACCCCGCCUCUAAUAAAAACACAAAAAACUAGCCAGGUGUGCUGCUGUGUGUCUGUAAUUCCAGCUACUUGGGAGGCUGAGGCAGGAGAACUGCUUGAACCCAGGAGGCAGAGGUUGCAGUGAGCUGAGAUUGCAUCAUUGCACUCCAGCCUGGGCGACAGCAAGACUCUGUAAAAAAAAAAAAAAAAAAAAAAAAAAACAGCCAGGCGUGGUAGCACGCCUGUAGUCCCAGCUACUUGGGAGGCUGAGAUGGGAGGAUCACCCUCGACUGGGGAAGUUGAGGCUGCAGUGAGCUGAAAUCGCACCACUGCACUCCAGCCUGGGUGACAGACUGAGACCCUGUCAAAUAAAUAAUGUAUGUAUGUAUAUAUGUAUGUAUGUAUGUUAACCUCAUCCCAAAACAUCCUCACAGAACAUCCAGAAUAAUGUUUGACCAAAUAUCUGGGCACCAAUGGCACAUUCAAGUUGACACAUAAAAUUAACCCUCACAAUACCGUACUGUACAACUUUUGGAGUGAAGCUGGAAUGUCAUCGCAUUUCCAAGACUAACUCAGUGUCCACAAAUGAUGCUUAAGUCAUGAGGAUCAUCUCGGAUUUGGAUUUGGAUGCCUGUCAAGCCCUCACUCUUCAGACUAAAUGUCUGAUUUGCAUGGAGAAUUAUCAAGAGAAGCAACAAUGCCAAGCAGACUAUUCCAGGUCAAAAUAGUCAAAUUAAUAAUUCAUAAAUUAUUAUAUGUUUUGAAGGUAUUGCAAAAUUAAAGUUGCAAGAACAGUACAGAUAACUUUUUUCCUGAACCAUUUGAGAGUAGGUUGCAGACCUGGUGCCCCAUCAUUUCUGAAUAUUUUAGUGUGCAUUUUCUACAAACAAGGACAUUUUCCAGCAUAACCACAAUGCACCCAUCAAUGUCGUGAAAUUAAUGUUGGUACAUUACUACCACCUAGUCCUCAGACCCUAUUCAAAUUAUACCAGUUAUCAUAAUAGUUUCUUAUAAUUUAUAGCAAAAUGAUCCAAACCAGGAGCAUGCAUUGCAUUUUUAUGAAUUUUUAAAACAAUUAAGUCUGUGUAGUGAGUGAAGCCACAGUGAUAGGAAUAUAUAAAGGCUUUGCAUCUAGAAUUUGUUCUGAAAACCCUGAGAUUCAAGUAGUACAUUAUUUCAUUUACUAUUUUACACAGAGAAGCCCUCAUUUUUAAGAGUUUGCCUUUCUGAUUUCCACCGGAAAUGAUACUAUCAGUAUCAUACUCAGAAUCUUAAUUACAUACAAGGCACUAACCUCUCACCUGUUUUCAGCUUUGUGUAAAGACAAGGGAUCAAAACAUCCCUUUCUGCUAUUUCAUACUUAAGUGUGGGAGCUGAUCCAAAGGAAGAAUAGUUUCAAAAGUUUGUAGCAAAAAAAAUUUAAAAGGUGAAGAUUUUUUCCUUGAAUGAUUCUCACCUGGCAGAUCUAUGGAAAGAUUAGCUGACUCUUUGGAUCCCUGAAUAUAGUUAAUAGAAAUUUGGAAGGACCAUGUCAAAAUUAACUAAUGUGAACUGACAAAGAUUUGGUGUUCAAAGCAAAAAUUAAACUUUGGAAAAGUGAGCAAGUACUUAAUCAGAAACAAAAAAAAAAAAAAGAAAGGAAAAGUUAGGUGAAAAUGGUUUCCAGGUGUUGUUGCUGUUAUAGUUUGAAUCAUAAAAGUUGUUAAAAGUCUGCUGUAACAAACCAUCAUAGACUGGGUGACUUAUAAAGAACAAAAAUGUAUUUCUCACAGUUCCAGAGGCUGGGAAGUCUAAGAUCAAGGCAUCAGCAGAUUCAGUGUCUGGUGAGGGCCCACUUUCUGGUUCAUAGAUGGCACCUUCUCACUGUCUCCCCACGUGAUGGAAGGGGCAAGAGGUCUCUCUUGGUACUCUUUUAUUAAGGGCACUAAUCCCAUCCAUGGGGCUCCACCUUCAUGACCUAUUCAUCUCCCAGAGGCCCUACCUGCAGAUACCAUCGUAUGGGGGAUUUGAUUUCAGCCUGUGAAUUUGGGGGAAGCGGGACAAACAUUCGUUUUGUAGCAAAAGGAGUAGAGUAAUAUCUGCCAAUAACUGGAGGAAAGAAUUGUUCUUUUAAAACUAUUAAAUUGUUUAAUGGGAUUUAAAUGAUUUCAGGAAUGAAAUGGAAAUCCUGGUAAUGGGUAGAAACAUAGGUAAAUUCUCCUUUUCCACUUACCACCACCUGUGUGAACAACAAUCAUUUCUCAUUAAUAGUCAAGAAUUUGAAGAGAUCAUGAGUAAAAAGUCUUGAUCAGAAAUUGUGUAUAGCUGUUUCCAGCAUAAAACCUUAUAUAAAAUGCAUAUUCAUAGAAGAUGCUCAAGUAUGUCAUGAAAAAUAUGAAGUUUAUUUAAAUAUUUAUACAAAUUAAAGAUUUACUGUAUUCUCUAACAGCGCGUAUUUUCUUUUUUGUAAUAACUAUAUGAAAUAAAUACAAAGUAACACGUUUUUACCAAGCCCCCUUCCCAUCCUUCUCAUCACCCUCAAACUCCCUCCAAAUAGAGUCAGAGAAACAGCCAGAGGGAUGUCUCCACUGAGACACAGGGAGGUCUUGCACCCAGGCAGUUCAGCAGUUCCUGGGCGGGUGGCCCUUCCCAUCUGAGUACCCCUCAAUGUGCCUGCUCCUCCUGGGAUCCUUUCUGCUCCCUUGGGCCUCUGUUUUUGGUCUGCAAUGGUUGGUUAUGUAGAGGGAUCAGUAUUGGGGUUGUCCCAAGCCAGGCUACAGGUUGAGCAGGUAGCCACAUAGGCCACAUAGCAGGACGGGCCCAGCUGGGGACUCUGAUGUCUGCAAUUAGGGGUGGCAGGAAGUAAUGGAUGCACAGGCGCUGACUUGGCCUGGCCUUAAGCCUUAGUCUAGCGGAAAGGUCUGGCUGUUUACCUGCCUUCCUAUUUGGAGCUGAUCCCAGGACCAAACGGGAUGCCAUCGUACCAAGGGCAGGGAGAUGAAGGGAGGCCCUCAGAAGAGAAUGAGGCCUAAAUGCCAGGUAAAGGGCAGGAAGGGGUUCAAUCCCAGCAGCACCUCCUGGUGGUAGUUGGGGAAAUAAAAUGGCCAGAGAGGAGACUGGCCCUGAAGGCAUCUCCAGAGCUUGAGUCCCUCAGUAGCCAACCUGAGCUCCUAAACCCCUCUGGACUAGGUCCCCUUCUCCACUUAACCUGCCUCCUCAAGAAAGACAGGAUGGGGCCGGGCACAGUGUGGCUCGCGCCUGUAAUCCUAGCAUUUUGGGAGGCCGAGGCAGGUGGAUCACCUGAGGUCAGGAGUUCGAGACCAGCCUGGCCAACGUGGUGAAACCCCGUCUCUACUAAAAAUUUAAAAAUUAGCCGGGCAUGGUGGUGGGCGUCUGUAAUCCCAGCUACUUGGGAGGCUGAGGCAGGAGAAUCACUUGAACCUGGGAGGUGGAGGUUGCAGUGAGCCAAGAUUGUGCCACUGCACUCCAGC
rnacentral:lncRNA from 1 species